UAAGACGAAGUAUAUAUAUUAGGAGGGGAGUGUAGUGACAAAUCAAGAGAAAGAGGAGAGAGAGAAGUAUACCCCUUUCCUUUACUGACUACUACUUCUCGCUCUCCCUGCAGCAGCAGCAACCACUGUUAAUUAGUGUGAAAAUAUGACUCCUAGACCAACCCAAAAUACCGUGAAUGGUACCACUCACCACCCUCAUUAUUACCCGCCUCCUUAUUCAUCAUCUUCAUCUAAAGCAUCAUUCAAAGGUUGUUGUUGUUGUCUAUUCCUUCUUUUUUCUUUCUUACUUCUACUUAUCCUGGCUGUCAUACUAGUUAUCGUACUCGCAUUGAAACCUAAAAAACCUCAAUUUGAUCUACAGCAAGUGGGUGUUCAGUACGUUGGUAUAACACCCAACUCUGCCAACGUUGCUGCCGCAGUAUCCUCUGAUUCAUCUGCUUCUGUUUCACUCAAUAUACGUAUGGUAUUCACUGCUGGUAAUGAUAACAAGGUGGGAAUCAAGUACGAUGAGUCCAGGUUUACUGUAAUGUACCGGGGGAUUCCUCUUGGUCGGGGCGUUGUUCCCGGGUUUUACCAACCCGCGCACAGUGUUCGCCGGGUCGAAACCACUAUUGUAGUGGAUCGGGUCAACUUGCUCCAGGCGGAUGCCACUGAUUUGAUCCAUGAUGCGGCGUUGAAUGAUCGGGUCGAGCUUCGGGUUUUGGGAGAUGUCGGAGCUAAGAUUCGGAUCCUUGGGUUAACUUCACCUGGUGUGCAGUGACUAUGAAGGGGAGCCUUGGCGUAACCGGUAAAGUUGUUGCCAUGUGAUUAGAAGGUCACGGGUUCGAGCCGUGGAAACAGUCUCUUGCAGAAAUGCAAGGUAUCCGUGGAUUGCACAAUAGGGAUCAGCCCAACGAAACAGUCUGUCACAUACAAGCAGUGUGGAUUCGAUGGCCUUAGGGUAUGACACAAAUAAUAACUGAUCCUUUUGUCUGCUUCAACUUUUCCGAAGUUGCUUCUCAUCUCUCUAAUUCCACAAGGGGAAAAGAUAGAUGUAAAAGUUGUAGUGGGUAAACAAGUCCACACAUUGGAAAAAAGUAAUAAAAAGAGAGAGCGCACAUGCAUCUGGUAGGGACCGUAAGAUUAUUUUUAGUUGUGAAAAUGAGAGGUUGAGCCAGUAAUUGUAGCUAAAGGGUAUCCCUGUUAUUAAAAUAGAUUCUUUUUUCUCCUUUUUUUCGUGUGGGGGCGCGGGCGUGGCGGUCAGUUUCUCGUUGUAAAGAUUUGGACUAAUAGGUAUUCCACGACUCAUUGUGAUUGGCUGACAUUUAAUUUAUUAUUAUUCAUCAAUAUUAGUGGUGUAUCACUGUAUCUUUCAGAA